AUGGGUGGUGUGAGUUAUUGUGAGCUCGUCGGUCCUAUUUGUCCGUCCCUCUCAAACCUCCACUCCCUAACUGUGAUCAACCUCGAAGGCAACUUUGAUACAUCUGCCGCUCCUUUUCCAGAGUUGUUUAUGGAUUUUCUCAAUUUAAGUGUGCUUCGACUUGCUAAGACAAAUCUCCAAGGGCGGUUUCCUAGUGGAAUCUUCCAAUCAAAAACUUUAAGGGUCCUUGAUUUAUCUAUGAAUCAGGAUCUCUCGGGCUGUGUGCCAAAGUUUUGCAACGGGAGUUCAUUAGAGUCUCUUAUGCUAGAUGGGGCCAAUUUCUCCUAUGAAAACCCAGGCUCUUUCAGCAAUAUCAAGUAUUUGAAGACGUUAAGUCUUGAUGUGAAUUUCAUUCCUGUGGACAAUCAGUCUUCACUCGGUGUUCUCAGGUCUCUACAGCAUUUGGAACUCUCUCAGAUGAACUCAAUAAGAGAUAUAGGUCAUGUUUUCUCAUGGAUCGGAGACCUGCAGAACUUGGCAAGCUUAGAACUCUCUGGAAAUGUAUGGAUGUUCUCUCAGACAUCCCUGUCUUCAUUUGCCAAACUCAAGAGCUUGAGAAGCCUGAAACUCAUGAACUGCAACUUCACUAGGCCAAUGCUACCAACAUUUGGUAAUCUCGUAAGCUUAACAAGCUUGGAGAUCUCCGGUUGCAACUUUAAUGGUCCAAUACCAUCUGCAAUUGGCAACCUGACAAACUUGAAAAGCUUCAAUAUCGAUGGAUGCAAUUUCUUAGGGCCAAUACCAUCUUCAAUUGGUAAUCUCGUGAACCUGAUAAGCUUGGGAAUAAAUGGUGUUUACAAUGAUAUUGGUAACUUUUCUUACUCCUAUGUUCCAAUACCUUCUUCAGCUGGUAACCUCAAUAAGUUAAUAAGAUAG
rnacentral:rRNA from 1 species